rnacentral:miRNA from 10 species
UUUAAAAGAUGAGACAUUAUUAUUAUUAUUUUUUUUACCAGCAUGGCACAUGUAUACAUAUGUAACUUACCUGCACGUUGUGCACAUGUACCAUAGAGCCUAAAGUAUAAUAAUAAUAAUAAUAAUAAUGAUAAUAAU